AGGAGCAACGGAUGGAAAUUGAAGAAAAGGCUCCAAAAUUGCGUGAGGAGUCCCUGGAGCUCCAACGGACAGAAAGAAAAAUGCUCUCCCGAGCUCUUCUCAGAAGCUCUGAACAGACGAAGGAAAAAACUGCAGAGAGGUUCUCAGGAGCUCAGGGGACCGAAAAGAAAAAAACACCCCUCAUUUGCUCCCUCUCUCAGGCCUCGGUGCAGAAGGAAAAUUUGCAGAGAGGCCCCUGAUUCACUCUCGCAUCUCUCCCUCUCUCGGACGAAGGCUACGGACAGAAAACAGAGAGGGAAAGAAAUUUUUGCAGAAGAGAUCCCUAGCUCAAUUUCUCUCGGUGGAGCAAUGGAACAAAAGAAGGGAAGGAAGAAAAUUGCUCCGAGGACCUCGACUGAGGCAGAAGCAGAAAAGAGAAGGAAUUUGCAGCAGAGGUCCCUGGAUCAUCUCCAGAACUCUCUUCCUCUCUCUCGGACUUGUGUAGAAGAAAGGGGCAAGGCCAAUAAAAAUGAUUGGAGCUUGCAAUUUCAUCAAAUUUUAAUCAAGAGACUACAAUCUUCAUUGAGGUAUUUAUUCUUUUAUCUUUUUUCCAACUUUUUCCUUUCUUUAAUUUAUUAAAUUAAAUACAUGAUUUGAUGUUUGUUUGUCCCUUGGCUUCGUUUGUUGUUGUUACUGAUGUUGUUGAAUUUUUGGGGAAUCCAUGAAUAAACAUUAAAAAAAAUGAUUUCUGUGAAUGCAUGAUAAUUGUUUGAAAAAUGUGAAAAAUGAAAAAAAUGAAUUUCAAGGGCUGUUUUGCUUUAUUUUAAUUUUUUUUAUGUUGUUUUCUUGUCAAAUAAAAUCAUACUUAUAUGUAGGAAUUGUAAGGAGUGUUGUAGUAUAAUUUUUAUGAUUUUUGGUGAAAAUUUGAGUAUUUUAAAAAUAAUAAAAAUCGUGGCUGUUUCUGGCAUUUUGACUAUCUUCGAAUUGUUUUCUGUGCAAACUAAAUCCGGAUUUGGAAUCUACUCGAAAAAUCGAGUGAAAAUGUGUGUUUUAAUAAUUUUUGGUGACCGGAAAAAUUGCCGGCGAUCGGUAACCGGAGGCACCGUCAGCGGUAACCACGGGCACCGACAGAAUGUUGUAGGAAAAGUUGCAGAAGUUGAUUUCCGAAGCUUUGCAUGAUAAUCUGGAAAAUUUGCGGUUCAGCCCCCCGAACUUUUAAAUAAUUACAUUGUGGCCCAAAAGCUUUUGUAAUUGGACCAGUCUUGUCCCUAUUGAGUUUUUUAUUUUCUUUUUCAUAUUUUAACUGCAUUUCAAGUAUGUUGUUUCUGUGAUUUGAGGGUGUAAUUAUAUUUUAAUAAUUUUGAUAGAUUUAUUAUUUUGAUUGGGUUUGAUAAAAUAAUUGGAGUUUUUGGGUUGAGAUUUGUUUGGUUGGGUUUUGGUAUAAAAUUUGGGUCAUUUUAUUGGGUUUUAGAAAUGGGUUUUGGUUUAUUUCUUGUGGGUUUGGGUUGGGCUAAGAAGUCAAAACCCAUGUAUUUAUUUGAGUUGAAUUGAGUGAUAAAAAAGACGGGCUGCCCAUUUCUUUCUUGGAUUUUCAGUUGGGCUGAGAGGGUUUUCGGCCCAAACAAAUAAAUAAAAUGGCCCAGUGGCCCAUUUGGCUGAGAAAUCUGGUUACGAAAUUGCAAAUCAGUCCCUGUACCCUUGAGCAUUUUCUCUAUGGCCCUAAAUAUUUUGAUUUCUUUCAAUCAGAUCCUUCAUAUAAUUGUAAAUAGGUCCCUGAACUUUAUUUUUAUUUAAUUGUGAUCCCAUAUCUUUGUGAUAAUUAUAAUUUGCCCCCAAAACUUUGUUUAUUUUUGCAAUUAGAUCCUUAACAGAUUGGAUUGCUUAAAUAGAAGUUGCUUUUCUUCUAUAAUCAUUGAUUACACUUCAUUUAAGUGUUUCAAUUGAUUGAUUUCAUUUUUAUUUCCAUUUGCUAUGAUUUAUUUGUUAUUUAAAUUGGUGCCUUGAUGAUUUUGUUAAUUUUGGAGGUAAAUAGGGCAAAUCCAAUUUCCAUUAAUUACUACUUCAAGGGAGGUAUCUUCUUGUAUCAUUUUAAAUCCUCUUAUGUGCUCCAAUGUGUUUUAUGUGCAAUCACAUGUUUCGAGUGUUAUUCUUUUAUUUAUUAUUAUUCUUUUCUUUUUAUUAUUGUGAUUCAUUUUUAAUUUUAUUUAUUUUAUUUUAUUUUAUUCUUGAUUAUUUGAGAAGGCAAUUAAAUGUCACAAUUGUAAUAGUUAGGUAUUUAUUUUAAUUAUUUAUUUUAUUUCCCUUUUAGAUUGUAGUAGGCUUCCCCCCUAAUGUAAUAGUUAGGGCUUGUUUGCUUUAUUUACUUGGUGUGAUUUGCGUGCUUCUUGCUACGUGUUACUGUUUUUCUUAGGAUAUUUGCAUCUAGAUAUUAUGCUUACAUGUUAUGUGUUACGUGCUCUUAUGUGUUUAUUUAUUUUAAUUUAUACUUUAUUUGUUUACUAUGUAUUGUUAAUGCAUAACGUCACCACACUAGUCCAACGCUAGUUGUGGCUUCUCCUUCUAUUUACUUGCUAGUCCAACGCUAGUAAGGAUUUCUAGAAAUGGGCUAGUCCAACGCUAGACCCGUAUAUGGUUCAUGCAUUAGAUUCAUUGUUGUAUGAUAUUUAUUACAUUUUCAUGCAUAUUUUAUUUUUUAGGAUCUUUUCUCAUUUGCAUGAUAUUUUCAAUUAUAUUAUCCUCUACCCCUUACCCUCUACAUAUGUUAAUCAUAUCAUUUAGAAUUGCAUUUCAUUUAAGAAAUUGUGGAAUAAGUUAGUUCAUUCGCUUGUUCAUAUUAGAAUAAUUAUUCUUUGAACAGGAAAUGGGUUAUUAUGACUUUUUUAGUUUAAAUAUCCCAUUAAUCCCUGUAUGAUAAAAUUAUGUCACGAGUUUUUGUCUCCCGUAC
rnacentral:lncRNA from 1 species